rnacentral:rRNA from 1 species
GAAUCCCGUCUUUGACACGGACUGCCUGUACAUUAUGGUGUGCUCUCGAAGAGUCGAGUUGUUUGGGAAUGCAGCUCAAAAUGGGUGGUAAAUGCCAUCUAAAGCUAAAUAUUGGCGAGAGACCGAUAGCGAACAAGUACCGUGAGGGAAAGAUGAAAAGAACUUUGGAAAGAGAGUUAAACAGUACGUGAAAUUGCUGAAAGGGAAACGCUUGAAGUCAGUCGCGUUGGCUAGAAAUCAACCUUGCUUUUGCUUUGUGUACUUUCUGGUUGACGGGUCAGCAUCAAUUUUGACCACUGGAUAAAGUCUUUGGGAAUGUGGCAUCUUUGGAUGUGUUAUAGCCCAUUGUCGCAUACGGUGGUUGGGAUUGAGGAACUCAGCACGCCGCAAGGCCGGGUUUCGACCACGUUCGUGCUUAGGAUGCUGGCAUAAUGGCUUUAAUCGACCCGUCUUGAAACACGGACCAAGGAGUCUAACAUGCCUGCGAGUGUUUGGGUGGAAAACCCGAGCGCGUAAUGAAAGUGAAAAGUUGAGAUCCCUGUCGUGGGGAGCAUCGACGCCCGGACCAAACCUUUUGUGACGGUUCCGCGGUAGAGCAUGUAUGUUGGGACCCGAAAGAUGGUGAACUAUGCCUGAAUAGGGUGAAUCCAGAGGAAACUCUGGUGGAGGCUCGUAGCGAUUCUGACGUGCAAAUCGAUCGUCAAAUUUGGGUAUAGGGGCGAAAGACUAAUCGAACCAUCUAGUAGCUGGUUCCUGCC